GUAGCGUAAUCAUUUGGUUUUUAAUAGAAAUCUGGAAUGAAAGGUCAAACAAAUAUUAGUUUCUUGUCUGUAGGGAGUGAAUUUAAGAUUGGAGUAAAAACGCUUUAAUUUUUUGUGGGACGAUAAGACCCUAAAAGCUUUAUUUUAAAUAAUAAUAUAUUUUUAGUGGUUAAUAUAACUAUAAAUUGGUUGGGGUAAUGACUCUAAAUAUAUUAGAGUGUGGUUUUAUAGUAUAAUUAGGCAAAUAUCCUUAUUAUUAGGACAAUAAUUGUAGUUACUUUAGGGGUAACAGGGUAAUUAUUUUAUAGAGAUCUUAUUUAUAGAAUAGAUUGCCACCUCGAUGUUGAAUUAAAAUAUCAGCGGGAUGAAAAAAGUUCGUUUUGAGGGUUUGUUCAACCUUUAAUUUUUU
rnacentral:rRNA from 1 species